rnacentral:lncRNA from 1 species
CACUUUCUCAGAAAACUCAAACAAAUCCUGAGUGUGAAACAGAAAGAGGAUCAAGACAUCAUCUGUUCCAUUGGAAAUCUCACAGAAAGCUUGAGGAUGAUCAAAUUUUGGCGCACUCAGCAGUGGCACAAGGGGAGAGAAGUGCAGUACCGAAUAGAAGUAUACAUGGAAGGCACCAAUGCUGUCGAGCGGAGUAAAGUAGCAGUGGUGAAAACUGAAAACACAUUGACUGCUCUAAGAGCUGAAGAGAGACUUAAGAUAAGGCACAUUAAUCAAACCUAAGCACUGAAAAAACAAGCACAGCAAAGACCUCGAAUUAACACAUGCAUUCUAACGACAAGAAUCAUAGGCCUAAUGUGACAAAUUUUAGAGAUUAAGUGGAAUUGAACCAACUGAAAAGAAGGAAGGGGUAACUCUACCUUCCAAUCACAGAAGAUACAAUUAGGGUUUAGAGGGAGAAUUAAUGCUACUGUAUUGCAGAGAUCUUACGAGAGGCACAACAGAAACACAAAAUUCAGCGUGUUUGACGCCGUCACGGAAUCCUUAAUAAAAUUAAUCACCGACCUAGAUUAGGACUGCACAAUGAGCCUAAUUUUCAAAACAACCCGCAUCUCUACUUGCAGUCCUCUCCCAAAGGAACGACGUUACACGUACAUAGUAAGCAAAGUACAAACUCAGAAGGAAAAACAACUCCAACAACCCAAAAUAGAACGUACCAUUCAGCACAGGAGCAGCACACGGAGAGACAAAGGAACUCGCAGCUGAUUGCUAGGGAAGUUAAGUGGAGAGCGAUUGAAGGACCGACGAAAUCCAGAACUGGAGAGAGAAUUGCCCAAAAGUGAUGACGUGAAUGAUUUUCAAGUCAACUGUAAGAGAUGCAAGUGAAGACCUAUGAAUCGAACAUGCUAUGCUACAAAUAGCCUUGGAGGACCUUUUCAAGAAAUAACACAGAACAAGAACAUGGUGAAAAGAUUAACUGAUGAAAUAAGCGUACUUGGUCCCAGAUUGAUGAAAUUAAGCGAACAAGAGAUUACGACACUGUCAAAUACUCCUUUCAAGUCUAUAAAAAAACGAGCCUGUACAGUCUGAACUUAAUGGCGCGGGGUUCCAUUACUCCAUAACCCCAACUCAAAUAAGCUACACAUGGGCCAGGAAUUUCAUUAACACAUCUUUGCGCAUGAAACUCAGCACAAACCAUCAAGUGCCAAAUCCGACUUACAUUACCCAUCAAGUGCCAAAUCCGACUUACAUUACCAGCACUGCUAUGCUUCUACUCUCGUUUCAAUCAGCUCACUGAGCUCUCCAAGACGUGCAUACGCAACGCAAGCCAUAGAGUACCAUCGCAAAAAUUUGAAAAGGAAUCCAUCAAAACAUGGGACAGACAGGAAUAAGCAGAAACAACUACAAAAAUGUGGGAUAAUAGUAAUGCGCA